UACGUAGGGGGCAAGCGUUGUCCGGAUUUAUUGGGCGUAAAGAGCGUGUAGGCGGUCAGGUAGGUCCGUUGUGAAAACUCGAGGCUCAACCUCGAGACGCCGAUGGAAACCAUCUGACUAGAGUCCGGAAGAGGAGAGUGGAAUUCCUGGUGUAGCGGUGAAAUGCGCAGAUAUCAGGAAGAACACCCGUGGCUAAGGCGGCUCACUGGCCCGGUAGCUGACGCUGAGGCACGAAAGCGUGGGGAGCAAACAGG
rnacentral:rRNA from 1 species